GGCAGUAUCUCGGAAAAGAGUACAGUAGACGUUUGAGGCUUGCCAAAGGGUCUCAGCACGAAACAUUGACUGUACUCUUUUCUGAGAUGCUGCCUGGCCUGCUGAGUUCCUCCAGCAUUUUGUGUUUGUUGCUCUGGUUAAGAACUGUUCGGCAAGUCUUUUGUCCCAAUUAAGUGGCAUAAUGUCCCAAAUAAAUGAAGGGAAUCCCAGCUGUUUUGUUGAUUAGUUUUUAUCCUUUAAGGGUUUUCCCAAACAAGUGCAUGUUCCAAUUAAUUGGUGACCAAUCCAUUGUAUGUCUAUCAAGUUGCCCUCUCAGCCUUCUAUGCUCUUGGACAGGGAUGGCCAACCUACGGCACAUGUGCCAGAAGUGGUGCAUUGGAUGGUUAGAAGUGGCAUAUUGCACCCCAGUGAUAAUAAUAAAAAAGUAAGCCUAUUCAUGCAAAAAGUAUUAACCAAAAACCAAUUUGUAGAAAAAAAGAUCUAUAACAGGAAUUCAAGUAGCUUCGAGCUAGAAAUGGGUUUUACUGAGAAUACAGGUGUGCGCUGCUUAACAUCCAUUCGGAUAAUGUCCGAUCACAGAUAUGUUCGUAGUCCCGAUUGGAGAACAUGAUGUAGCGGAGAUAACCAAUCUCGUGUGUCGCAUGUCUCUUGAGUGUAGUAGUGUUAUCUCUCUGUUUAAUUUUCUUUCGAAAAUAUUACUGUAAAAUGCAUCAUGGCUUCCAAACACAGCAAAACCACUCCUAGUGAUAGCAGCAGCAAGAGGCAAAAGAAAAGUAUUGAUUUGGAGGUGAAACAAAAGGUUAUUAAACAAUAUGAAGGUGGAAAACUAGUAAAUGCUAUUGCUCAGGAUUUAGGCAUGCCGCACAAUGAUAAAUUGUGUGUGAUAUAGGCUAAGAAGGUGUUUACAUAAAAGCUUAAAAAGUGAAAAAAAUUAAAAAGUUUAAAAUGAGAUUAAAAACUUAUAGUGUAUGUAUUAUAGUGUACAGUAUAUAGUUUUAGUGUAAGUUCUUGGCUAUUUAGUCAAUACAAGUACACUACAGUACUCCAUAUAGGUUUGCUAGAUAUAUAAUAUGGUGUUCGCACAACGUCCAAAUCACAUAACGUCCAAUUUCACAGAACGUAUCAUGGACGUUAAGCGAUGCAUUCCUGUGAAUCUAAAACUUAGCAAUUAUUUUCAGCGAUUUUAUUAUUUCAUGCACAUCUUUUGGCAAAUGUCAUCUUCUUUCACAUUAAUCUGUCUUCAAUUUUUUAAAAUGUUCAAUGAGUCAAACUAGGAAAGAAGGACUUUUGUUCUGCAGUCGUUCCAUAACUGUUCAAUACACGUUUGAUACUGAGGCACCAGGCAUCUGCACCAGCGGUGAGUCGCAGGUAUUUGCCAGUCAGCUUACAAUUCACACUCGUGAGCUAUGGAGUUGUGCUUUGUUUGUCCUUUGUGAACAUUUGCAGUUUUGUACUUUUUUGAAAAUUAAGCCUUGUUUUUACAUUCAGUUUCUUUUACAGUGCAAAAGAAAAUGAGCAAUAGAAAAGCAGAAAGUGAUAGUAAGCGUGAAUUCAAGGAACAGUGGGAAAAUGAGUUCUUAUUUAUAGCGGGUCGGUCAGGAAAACCAUUGUGCAUUGUUUAUGAAAACACUUUCUCACAUAAUAGAAGACAUGAUCUUAAUAGACACUAUAAAACACAACAUCAGACUGAAAUAGAAGGAAAACUGAAGCUAGUGCUUGGGUCUGAGUUACGGAAAGAAUAUGUGAUUAAGAAAAAGGAAGAAAUCAAAAGACAAAAUAUAUUUGUUAAAAGUCUCAUUAAGGCAUCCUGGACCUAAUAAAGUGGCCACUUCGUGUAUGUUUGUGGACUUCUGCUGUUGUAGCCCAUCCACUUUAAGAUGCUGCCUGACCUGAAUCUUUCCAGCAUUUUCUGUGUUUAUUUCAGAUGUCCUACAUCUGCGGUUUCCUUUUUGACUUUCAGUGAUUCACCACAAUCCUGAUGAGUACCUCAUAAACGGAGGGAAGUCUUUGGGAAGCUACGAGCUUGAACAUUUAUGGUUUACAACCCAUUGGUAACCUCUUAGAACUCAGCUUUACUAUCAACACAGGAAUCUUGAGCAACACACACAAAAUGCCGGAGGAACUCAACAACUCAGGCAGCAACUAUGGAGGAGAAUAAAUAGUCAACAUCCUGAUGAAGGUUGUCGGUCCAAAACAUUGACUGUUCAUUCCUCUGUAUAGAUCUUGUGUGGGAUACAGGUGACUUGACUCCCUUUAAACCCCAUAUUUUUUCCAGUAUGUUAUCCCUCAUAAUAGAGAUUUCUCUUUGUUGUUUGAAACUAGCACAUCUGCUAUCCUAGAGAUACUGGCAGCAUCACCCUGCUGUUAAGACUGGUGUAGAAGUAUUGGUGUAAAUUAUCUGCCAUUUUCUUGAUUCCCGUUAUUAAUUCCAUUGUCUCACCAUCUAGGGGGUUCGACAUAUACCUUAGCUAUCCUUUUUUUUAAUCUAGUAAUUUUUUGGUCUAGUAAUUUAACCACUUGCUGCAGUUUUUGUCUAGCAUAAAGUGGAGCCUUUUCCAACCCUAUAAUUUAUAUUCUUGUAAUUAGUAUUUUACUAUGUAUAAUUAACAGAACAAAACAAGAGCCCCAUUUCUGUGCAACCCCCUCCUCAUUCCACUGAUCUUGCGGAGUUUUACUGUGGCAAAUACAUCAUUGGCUGUAUCAGAGUAAAUGCUGGGAUAUUGGAAUCUGUAACAUGAAAAUCCCAACGAUUAUAAUAAUUGGUCACCUAUUUCAUUUUGUAGCUGUUUCACUGGAAGUGUUGAAAGGGGACCAACAAAAAUGAAUGUGACUUUAAACUUUCAGUAUUAUAGUUACAUAUUUAAACAUUUAUACAAGUUAUAUACCCUUAUCCAAAAUGCUUAGGUUAGAGAGUUUCAGAUUUUGGACUAUAUGAUGAGAUAGCUUAGGAUCACCAUCAUUUCCAACUUUGGAUUUAUAUGCUACUGGUAAGCAGUCUUUGUCCUACACUUCUUCAUCACACAUAUGUACUGAUGCAGCUGUUGAUCAUGAUAGAUUUUCAUCAUUAACAGUAGUAGCAAACUCAUCAAUGAAUUUCUGCUGCUUUGUGAUCAACUGAUGCUUUAACAUCAAAAUCUUUAAAAUUUAAUUCCACGCCUUUUCUUAAAUUUCUGCAACUAGCCUGCUGAAUAUUCACAAUUAUCUUCGAUUUUCAGUUUGUCGUGAUAGAUCUUUGCUUGUUUUAUGAUCAGCAUGCUGUUAAGUGGCAUAUGUUCACUCCAACGCUGACGAAUCCAUUGUUUCAACUCCCAAUCGAGAUCUUCAUUUUUCACUUUCUGCAGUGUUUUUCUAUUUUUCGUUAACUGUUGUUCAUUACAAAUGUGAGGUAACUUCUCAGAACCAUCUAUGCUGAGCAGAGACUUGCGCAUCACCUGGGAACCUUGCCAAUGCCUUGUGGAAUUUUCCAAUUGUGAUAUCAUGUCAGCACUCAAAAAAAAAUUUGGAUUUUGGAGGUGUUGGAUUUUAGAAUUUCAGAUAAGAGGUACUCAACCUGUACUAAUUUAUUUAUGUUCCCUUAACUACAUUUGUGUUGAGAUCUGCUUUUACGUACUUUUGAAGUAUUUGCAAAACUCAACCUAAUCAAAGUUCAAAUUAAAUUUAUUAUCAAAGUAAAUUUAUGUCACCAUAUACUAUCCUGAGAUUUAUUUUCUUAUGGGCAUCCACAGUGGGUACAAAGAAGCACAAUGGAAUCAGUGAGAAACUACUGUUACGUAUCCCGUAACUGGAUAGCUUACCAGCAAAGAUAGAGAGGUCUGUUGAAGUCUGUUGUCACUAUUUUCAAACAUUUUUAUUUAUAAAGGGACACAAAAGUAGGGUUAAUACAUACAUUCAGAUAGUGCACAUCGUCAACAUUCAAUCUAAUGCGCGGGUAUAGUAAUAAUCAUCAUUAAGAAGUGAGCUCUGCUGGUGUCUAGGGGUUAAUAGGUUGUCCGUUGGAAAUAUAAAAGUCACUCUGAAAGUCUGCAGGCCUCAGCCCUUUGAAGAUCGCUAGGUUUUGCGUGGGGCGACCGAGAGAGAGAUUGGGGGGGGGGGGGAGAAGAGAAAGAACUUGCCGAGUCUUGAUGAAUCUUCCGUGAAAUCGGGGGAGCAUUGGUUUCCUCUCCCCGAUGUUAGUUAAAAACGGUUUUCUGUGAUUCCAGCCAUAAAUUCCAAUCCCGGAAUCUAACGCACGUGGCUUCCUUCAGAAUGGCUUCCCGCUGCUGCGGGACCACUCUCUCGUGUUUUCUGGGUGCGUCUGAGGGGCUGUCCCCCUGAGACUCUCCUUUAUACUUCCUCACGGGGUCACAAGUGUCAAUCAGGUUGGGAUGAUGCAAUCUCUCUCUCAACCAGCCCACCUUGCCCGAGGGCUUUUCACGUGGUCUCCAUGAGACAAUAGUUGCUGGCAUCUUAUUCUGUAUCCCUGAUGGGAUGUGCAAUUUUUCAUGUUUCUCUCUCUCUCACUUCCUGGGUCUACUGACCCCCCCCCCCCCCCACCCCAACGGGUGCUCUUGCGAUUCUCACAAAGGAGGGGGCUGGGAUCAUAACACUACACACAACUAAUGUGCAAAGGAAGACAAAUUAUGCAAAUACAAAAAAUAAAUAUAGCAGUAAAUAAAUAAAGAGGCGGUAAAUAAUGUUGAAAACGUGAGUUCUAGAGUCAUUGAAAAUGAAUCCAUAGGUUGCAGAGUCAGUUCUGAGUUGAAGUUAGUAAAGUUAUCCACGCUCGCUCGAGCCUGUUGGUUGAAAGGUAAUAACUGUCCCUGAACAUGGUGAUGUGAGACCCAAGGCUCCUUUACCUCCUUCUUGACGGCAGCAGUGAGAAGGGAACAAGACCUGGAUGGUGAGGGUCCUUGAUGAUGGAUUCUCCUUUCCAUCUUUAUCCUCUCAUCAUGAAACAUGCCUACUUCCACUCCAGAAACUUGCUCCUUCAUCUCAGCAUCAGUUGAUUCACAGUAUAAACCAUCUCUCAUUCUUUUGCAAACUUCUAUCUUGAUAGUUCUAAUGCUUUUGUGAUUAGUCCCCAAUUCUGCAUGCCCAUUAAACCCUGGCUCAUCUAGAAACAUAGCCUUUCAGCCCACAAUAUUGUGCCAACCAUGUAACCUACUCGAGAAACUGACUAGAAUUUUCCUACUGCCCUCUAAUUUUAUAAGCUUCGUGUACCUAUCUAAGAGUCUCUUAAAAGACCCUAUUGUACCUGCCACUACCACCAUCACUGGCAGUACAUUCCACACACUCACCACUCUCUGUGUGAAAAACUUAGUUCUGACAUCCCCCUUGUACCUACUGCCAAGCACCUUAAAACUAUGUUCCCUCGUGUUAGCCAUUUCAGCCCUGGGAAAAAGCCUCUGGCUAUCCACACGAUCAAUGCCCCUCAUCAUCUUAUACACCUCUAUCAGCACACCUCUCAUUCUCUAUCGCUCCAUAGAGAAAAGGUAAAGUUCACUCAGCCUAUUCUCACAAGACAUGUUCUCCAAUUCAGGCAACAUCCUUGUAAAUCUCCUCUGUACUCACUCUAUAGUAUCCACAUCCUUCCUAUAGUGAGGUGACCAGUCUGAACACAGUACUCCAAGUGGGGUCUGACCAAGGUCUUAUAUAGCUGUAACUUCACCUCACAUAUCUUGAACUAAAUUCCACGGUUGUUGAAGGCCAUCACACCAUACGCCUUCUUAACAACACUGUCAACCUGCGCAGCAGCUUCGAGUGUCCAAUGGACAUCGACCCGAUGAUCGACUGAUCGACUGAUCGUCCACACUGCCAAGAGUCUUAACUUUAAUAUUAUAUUCUGUCUUCAAAUUUGAUCUACCGAAAUGAACCACAUCACACUUACCUGGGUUGAAUUCCAUCUGCCACUUCUCAGUCCAGUUCUGCAUCCUUUCAAUGCCACGCUGUAACCUCUGACAACCCUCCAGAUUAUCCACAACACCCCCAACUCUUGAGUCAUCAGCAAACUUACUAACCCACCCUUCUAUUUCCUCAUCUAGGUCAUUUAUAAAAAUCACAAAGAGGAGGAGACCCAGAACAGAUCCUUGCGGGACCCCACUGGUCACCAUCCUUCAUGCAGAAUACGAACCAUCUACAAUCACUCUUUGCCUUCUGUGGGCAAACUAAUUCUGAUUCUCAAAGCAAGGUCUCCUUGGAUCCCAUGCCUCAUUACUUUCUGAAUGAGGAACCUUAUCAAAUGCCUUACUGAAAUCCAUAUACACUGCAUCCACUGCUCUUCCUUCAUCAAUUUAAAACUUCCCUGUUCACAUUCUAUCCCACUCACCCAUCAUUCUCGUCCUCACCGAUGUGCAUAGCUGCAGGUCCCCAAUGUGUUUUUUUAUUUUAAUUGCUCACUCUUGCGAUUUGCCUCUCACUGUCUCUGGAGCUUCCUGACCACUGAUUUGCCCUAGUCAGAGAUCUUGUGCUGUACUCCCCUCCCUCUGCACAAUCUCUGAUUGAUGUUCACUUCCCGCUGUCCGUACAUUCUCCCCUUGACCAUCUGGGUUUCCUUUGGGUGCUCCUGUUCCCUCCCACAUACCAAAAAUGUGUGGGUUAGUGUGAGUAAGUUGUGGACAUGUUCUGGUGGCGCCAGAAGCAUGGCGACAUUUUUCGGCUGUUCCCUAGCACAUCCUUGGCAUGUGUUGGCCAUUGAUGCAUUUUAUUGUAUAUUUUGAUGUACGUAUGACAAAUAAAGCUAAGCUUUAUCACAAUUGACCUUCACUAUGACCAUUAGAUCAUAAGACACUGUUGCUGGAUUAAGCCAUUUGGCCCAUUGGGCCUGCUGCAACAUCUGAUCAUGGUUAAUCCAUUUCCCUUUCAACACCGUUUUCCUGCCUUAUCCCCAUAACCUUUUCUACCCUGACUUAUCAAGAAUCUGUCAACCACCACCUUAAAUACACUCAAUGGCCUGGCCUCCGCAGUCUCCUGUGGCAACAAAUUCAACAGAUUCGCCAACCUCCGGCUGAAGAAAUUACUCCUCAACUCUGUUCUAAAUGGAUGUCUCUCUAUUCUGAGGUUGUGUCCUUUGGUCCUAGACUCCCCCACUACAGGAAACAUCCUCUCCUAUCUGGACCUUUCAACAUUUGAUAGAUUUCAAUAAGAUCCCCCUAACUUUUCUAAAUUCUAGUGACUACAGGUUCCAAGGUUGUCAAGCCGAGGAGUGGUAGUGGGGACAAGCUCCCACUACCUAAAAGUGCUCCUCAAAUAGCCUCUGAUAACCAAGUCCAACUCCUGGCCUUCUCGUGUGGCUUAGCCUCUAAGCCUGGCAGAACUGUUUCUACUGACAGGAGAAGGGGCGAAGGCAGGUCCUGGCACCUUAAAACCAGCACUUCAGGUAGAUGGAGCUCGUCAGCCUGGGAAGGCAGUCCAACUAAGAGAGGAAAAACUGAUUUCAAACCUCCGCUGCCUUGCGGCCAUACCCAUUCAUGGGAAAGGCUUCGGGAGUAAACCCUGAGGACAAGCCUGGAGCUGGAGUCCCUAAGGCAGUCCGACGUUGCCUUCAACCUCGUUCUGGCAACUCCUGCGACGACACUGGUGCCAAGCUGUAUCGGCCCUUGCCCUUCCCUCGGACAACAUCAGUGGCAUGGAGAGGGGAGACUUGCUGCAUGGGCAACAGCUGGUCUUCCAAACAACCCUGCCCAGGCCUGCGCCCUGGAGAGGACACUUUCCAGGCGCAGAUCCAUGGUCUCGUGAGACUAACGGAUGCCAUCAACAGGCUCAGAGCCAAUAAACGCUCCUCAUAUAAAAAGCCUUUCUCAGAUAGAUCCCGGAAUCAUUUUUAUGAACCUCCUUUGAACCCUUUCCAAUGUCAGCACAUCCUUUCUCAGAUUAGAUUAGAUUCAACUUUAUUGUCAUUGUUCCAAGUACAGAUACAAAGAAAAUGAAAUGCAGUUAGCAUCUAACCAGAAAUACAAAGAACAGUGUUAUUUACAGAAUAACUGUGAAUAAAAAUUAAGUGCUACAGCACACAAGUAUAAAAGUACUGAGACUGUACAAUACGGGUGCCAUACUGCUCAGUGCUGUGAUGUGAGGUUCAGCAGGGACACAGCCUCAGGGAAGAAGCUCUUCCUGUGCCUGCUGGUGUGGAAGCGGAGGCUCCUGUAGUGCCUACCAAAUGGUAGGAGAGUGAAAAGAUCACGGUUAGGGUGAGAUGCAUCCUUGAUAAUGCUUUUCACCCUGCCCUGGCAGCGUUUAUGGUAGAUGUUUUCAGCGGUACCUGAUAAACCGCUGGGCAGUUUUCACCACCCGCUGGAGUGCUUUGCGGUCCGAUAUGAGACAAUUGCCAUACCACACUGAGAUGCAGUUGGUGAGUAUGCUCUCAGUGGUACAGCGGUAAAAGUCCGUCAGUAUCCUGGGACAGAGGUGAGCUUUCUCGAUGCUCCGCAGGAAUUAAAGGUGCUGUUGCGCCUUUUUGAUCAGGAUGGAGGAGUUCAGGGACCAGGUGAGAUCCUUGGAAAUGUGGACACCAAGGAGUUUGAAGCUUGAUACAUGCUCCACUACCGCUCCAUUGAUGUAAAUGGGGAUGUGAGUGUGGCUCCUAGAAUGCCUGAAGUCCACACUGAUCUCCUUGGACUUCUGGGUGUUAAGGACCAGGUUGUUGUUGGCACACAACGCAACCAGGUGCUGGACCUCGUCACUGUAGGCCGUCUCGUCAUCCCCUCUGAUCAGGCAAACCACUGUGGUGUCAUCUGUGAACUUGAUUAUGGAGUUAGAACCAUGUACAGGAAUGCAGUCAUAGGUGAAAAGGGAAUACAGAAGAGGGCUCAGCACACAGCUUUGAGGCAUGAGAUAAGGGGCCCUUAUCCCCAUGUUCUGGAAUUUCCUCUGAAAACCUUGCACCUCAAAGUUCAAAGUAAAUUUUAUUAUCAAAGUACAUAUAUGUACCACAAACAACUCUGAGAUACAUUUUUUCUGCAGGUAUAUAGCAAGUCUAUAGAAUAUUAACUGUAACAGGAUCAGUGAAAGAUUGGAGUACUGUGCUCAGUUCUGGUUACCUCACUAUAGGAAAGAUGUGGAGACCAUAGAAAGGAUGCAGAGGAGAUUUACAAGGAUGUUGCCUGAAUUGGGGAGCAUGCCUUAUGAGAAUAGGUUGAAUGAUCUUGGCCUUUUUUUCCUUGGAGCGAUGGAGGAUGAGAGGUGACCUGAUAGAGGCGUAUAAGAUGAUGAGAGGCAUCGAUCAUGUGGAUAGUCGGAGGCUUUUUCCCAGGGCUGAAAUAGCUAGCACGAGAGGGCACAGUUUUAACGUGCUUGGAAGCAGGUACAGAGGAGAUAUCGGGGGUAAGUUUUUACGCAGAGAGUGGUGAAUGCGUAGAAUGGGCUGCUGGCGGUGGUGGUGGAGGUGGAUACGAUAGAGUUUUUUAAGAGACUCCUGGACAAUUAUGUGGAGCUCAGAAAAAUAGAGGGCUAUGGGUAACCCUAGGUAAUUUCUCAGGUAAGGACAUGUUCGGAACAGCUUUGUGGGCUGAUGGGCCUGUAUUGUACUGUAGGUUUUCUAUGUUUCUAUGUCCUAUCAACCAGAAGACAAACUGUGUAAAUGCUAAUAUAAGUAAAUAGCAAUAAAACACAAAACAUAAAAUAACAAGAUAGAAAGUCCUCACUAAACACAUUUAACAUUUCUCUUAAAAUCUCUUCAAGCAAACUUGGAAUUUCUUACUUUGACUCUGAAUUCCUUGUUUUUAGAAAUGGCAUCCCUAAAGAGUUAAGGCUACCUCUGUACCUUAAAUAGAUGAUGGGCCUUUCAAGAAAGACAGAACAGUUUGGGCAGGUUCUAUUAUGGUAGCUAAUUUUCUCUACAAGACAUGUUAGUGAAGGUGAAUAUGAGUCACAAAGGGAGGUUUACUUGAAAAAUAAACUAUGGUUUACCAUUGAACUCUGUGAACUCAUUCAACUGACAGACUGUCAUAAAACUGCAUUAAGAUUUGCUCUGUAUAUUUAUUUUCCAAACUUCAGCCAAUUACUUAAGCAACACAUUUACACAUAGCAGCCACAUUAUUAAGCACACCUGUACACCUGCUUAGCCUUCAUCAGCCUUCCUGAUAACUUCCUCGAAAAACUCUAUAAGAUUGGUUAAGCAUGACUUAACACACACAAAGCCAUGUUGAGUAUCCAUAAUCAGGCUCUGUCUAUCCAAAUACUUGUAUAUCUGGUCCCUCAGAAUGCCUUCCAAUAGCUUUCCCACUUCUGAUGUCAGGCUCACCAGCCUAUAAUUUCCCAGCUCAUUCUUAGAGCCUUUCUUAAACAAUGGAACAACAUUAGCUACCCUCCAAUCCUCCACUGCCUCAUCCAUGGCUAGGAAUGUUUUAAAUAUCUCUGCUAGAGCCCUGCAAUUUCUGCACUAGCAUCCUACAGAGUCUGAGGGAUCACAUUGUCAGGCGCUGGUGAUUUAUUCAUCCUAAUUUGUCUCGAGGCAGCAAACACCUCCUUUUCUGUUAUCUGUCCAUGAGUUUGCUGCUGCAUUGCCUCACAUGCAUAGACUCUGUGUCUAUCUCCCAAGUAAGUACAGGUGCAAAAAAUUCCAUUGAAAAUCUCCCCCAUCUCUUUUGGCCCCACCUGUAGAUCAACAUUCUGAUCUUCCAGAGUCCCACUUUUGUCCUUUGCUAUCCUUUUGCUCUUAAUUAUCCAUAGAAACCCUUAGGAUUCUUCUUCGCCUUAUCUGCUAGAGCAACCUGAUGCCUUCAUUUAGUCCUCCUGAUUUCCUUCUUAAGUGUUCUCUUGCUUUUCCUAUAUUCCUCGAGCACCUCAUUUGUUCCCGUCUGCCUGUACCUACAUUCUUAACGACAACCUCGAUACCUCUUGAAAGCCAUAGUUCCAUAAAACUGUUAUCCUUGCCUGUUAUUUUAACAGCAACAUCCAAACUCUGUACUACCAAAAUUUCAUUUUUGAAGGCCUCCCACUUACCAAGUACACCUUUGCCAGAAAACAACCUGUCCCAAUCCACACUUGACAGAUAAUUUCUGAUACCAUCAAAAUUGGUCUUUUUCCAAUUUAGAAUCUCAACACGAGGACCAGACCUAUACUUUUCAAUAAUUACCUUGAAACUAAUAGUAUUAUGAUCACCAGAUGCAAAGUGUUCUCCUACACAAACUUCAGUCACCUGCUCUGUGUCAUUUCCUAAAAGAAGAUCUAGUAUCAAACUCUCUCUUAUUGGGACUUCUAUGUACUAAUUAAGGAAACUUGCUUGAACACAUUUGACAGACUCUUUCCCAUCCAGCCCUUUUACAUGAUGGGAGUCCCAGCCAGUAUGAGGAAAGUUAAAAUCACUUACUAUCACAAUUUUGUAUUUCUUGCAACAAUCUGCGAUCUUCCUACUAAUUUGCUUCUGUAAAUCUUGCAUAUUGCUGGGUGAUCUGUAAUAUAACCCAAUUAAAUGGUUACACCUUUUUCAUUUCUCGGUUCUACCUAUUAAGCUGCACAAAGUGAGCUCUCCAGUCUGUCCUGUCCAAGCUCUGCUGUGACAUUAUCCCUGACUAGUAAUGCCAUCCCUCCCUUUUUAAUCCCUCCCACUCUAUCGCAUCGAAAAGAGCAAAAUCCCAGAUCAUUGAGCUGCCUGUCCUGCCCCUCCUGCAACCAAGUCUCGUUAAUGGCUACAGUGUCGUAAUUCCACAUGCAUAUAUCCAUGCCCUAAGCUCAUCAGCCUUUCCUACAAUACUUGCAUUGAAUUAUACGCAGCUCAGCACAUUAUUCCCACCAUACUCAACGUUUCAAUUCCUGACUUUAUGUAUGUUAGCUUAACAAUAUCUUUCUCCACAACUUCUCCAUUAUCUUUCUGGCACUCUGAUUCCCAUUCUCCUGCAACUCCAUGCUGCACUGGCAAACCUUUCCUGGGAGAGAGCCCAAUUACACAAAAAUCUGAAGCCCUCCUUCCUGCACUAACUCCUUAGCCACAUGUUAAACUGGAUUAUCUUCCUAUUUUUGGCCUCACUAGCACAUGGCACGGGUAGCAAUCCUGAUAUCACAGCCCUGAGGGUCCUGUCCUUUAACUAAACACUUGGCUCCCUGAACUCACUUUCCAAGACCUUGUCACUUGUCCUACCCAUGUCAUUGGUACUGACAUGGACCACGACCUCUGGCUGCUCACCCUCCCACUUAAGAAUUUUGUAGAUGAUCUGAGCUGUUGACGAAUGUACGCGGGAUAAUGUACACUGUCAGCUGGUAAGGGGGUAGUGAAUUUGUGGAAUGCAUUGCCACAGACAGCUGUGGAGGCCAUGUCAUUAGGUAUAUUUAAAGUAGAAGUUGAUAGGUUCUUCAUUGCUGCCCUGAACACCAGCAGCAUAACGGGCAGUAAGUAAGAUUGAUUUGUGAUUAGUAAGGGUGUCAAAGGUUACAGGGAGAACGUAGGAGAAUGAAAUUGAGAGGAAUUAUAAAUGAACCAUGAUGGAAUAGUGGUGAAGAGUCGAUGGGCUGAAUGGCUUAAUUCAGCUCCUGUGUCUUAUGGUCUAUAAAUGUAUUAUUUCCUGAUGUUAAAGGGAUAAUAUAAUCAAUAAAUCAAAAAUGUUCCGCUUUCAUUUCUAAUCAUUCUAAACCAGGCGGGACUUAGAAGUUGCGUGAUUUUAGUUAUUAAAGCAUGACUGUCUGCUUUAUGAUAUACUAAUUUGAUGUGACAUCCAUGGUAACAAAAACAUAACAUUGUAGUGUCUUUAAAGUCCCAGGGCAUUUAGCGAUGCAAUUAUCAGAUGUAUUCAGAAACCAAGCUGUUCAAGGAGACAUUUAAAUAAGUGGCCGCAAGCAUGCUCAUGGUCGUAGGCUUUUACUGUCUAAUUCUGAUGUGAGUUUUGUAAAUUUGCAACAAUGGUGGGAUCUUGCUAAGUAGAUGAGACUGUGAAUCUGCACACUCCAGUAAUAAACACAUCAUUUUCAUAGUUGCACAAGCAACAAUACCAAUCCGUACCAAUUUAUGCAAUGUUACAAAUAUUUUCUUCGCAGUACAGGCAAUGACUAAACUUGCAGGAGUUUAGAAGAUUGAGAGGGCAGAUCUCAUUGAAGCCUAUUGAAUAUUGAAAGGCUUAGAUAGAGUGGAUGUGGAGAGGAUGUUUCCUAUAGUGGGAGAGUCUAGGACCAGCGGCCACAACCUCAGAAUAGAAAGAUGUCCCUUUAGAACAGAAAUGGAGGAAGAAUUUCUUUAGACCAUAGGACCAUAAGGUAUAGGAGCAAAAUUAGACCAUUCAGCCCAUCAUAAUUGUUCCUCCAUUCCAUCAUGGCUGAUUUAUUAUCCUUCUCAAUCCCAUUCCUCUGCCUUCUCCCUGGAACCUUUCAUCCUUACUUAUUGAGAACCUAUCAAGCUCUACCUUAAGUAUACCCAAUGACUUGGCCUCCACAGCCGUCUGCGGCAAUGAAUUCCAUAGAUUCAUCACCCUCUGGCUAAAGAAAUUUUUCCUCAUCUCUUUUAUAAAUAGAUCUACCUCUUUUCUGAGGUUGUGCCCUCUGGUCCUAGACUCCCCGAGUGUAGGAAGCAUCCUUCUUACAUCCGCUCUAUCCAGGCCUUUCAAUAUUUGAUAGGUUUCAGUGAGAUCCCUUCUCAUUUUUCUAAACUUCAGUGAAUACUGGCCCAGAGUCAACAAACACUCCUCAUAUGUUAACCCGUUCAUUCCUGGGAUAAUUCUUGUGAACCUCCUCUGGACCCUCUCCAAUACCAGCACAUCUUUUCUUGGAUAAGGGGCCCAAAACUGCUGACAAUGCUGGAGUGGUGAAGUAGACUCAAAAGGGCUAAAUGGCCUAAUACUGCUCCCAAGUCUUAAGGAAUGUCUUUAAGGAACAAUUUUUUUUCUUUUUUUUCACUAUUAUUUUUAUUAGGAGACAUUGAAGGGACAAUACCGAAACUUAAAUUGAACAAGUAUCAGAAAAAAUUUACAAAAAUUGCAUUGGCAGUAGCCAAAAAAGUUAUCGCAGUUAGUUGGAAAUCUGAUUUAUAUUUAACUAUGGAUCGUUGGAAUAAUGAAAUACAUAGUUGUAUUCCACUUGAAAAAAUUACAUAUAAUUUAAGAAAUGAAUAUGAUAUAUUUUUGAAAAUUUGGCUCCCAUAUUUACAAAAGAUAGGAUUAAAUACAUAGGUCCUUUGAAGAUAAAAUUAUAGUAAUUGGGGGAAAGUAAAGAAUAAAUAUCAAAAUUAUUUUGAACUCCAUGGAGCAUAUGGGGAUCCUCCGAUA